rnacentral:rRNA from 1 species
UACGUAGGUGGCAAGCGUUGUCCGGAAUUAUUGGGCGUAAAGCGCGCGCAGGCGGCUUCUUAAGUCUGAUGUGAAAGCCCACGGCUCAACCGUGGAGGGUCAUUGGAAACUGGGGAGCUUGAGUGCAGGAGAGGAGAGUGGAAUUCCAUGUGUAGCGGUGAAAUGCGUAGAUAUAUGGAGGAACACCAGUGGCGAAGGCGGCUCUCUGGCCUGUAACUGACGCUGAGGCGCGAAAGCGUGGGGAGCAAACAGG